GGGUAGGUAGCUCAGUUGGUAGAGCAUGGCACUGAAAAUGCCAGGGUCGGCGGUUCAAAUCCGCCCCUGCCCACCA
rnacentral:tRNA from 1 species